CUCCAUCUUCUGCACAUUCACGACCUCCCCCCUCCCACUGGACCUCAUUUGAGCAGGAGGAGCAGGGGAAGAGAAGGAGCUGCUGGAUGGUGAUGUGCUGGGAAAGAGGCCGAGUGAGUGAGGACAGAAGAGAAUCAUCCACCUGGUAUGACCUGACAAGCACCCAGGCCCAAGUAUACGGAAGUGUUUGAUGUUGAUAUGAAAACAACUGCCUGUAAUUGUGAAGCUGCCGGAUGGAAGUCAUGGAGCCUUGGAUUUAGUCCUAACACUGUGUGUCCUUGGGUAAUAUAUACACAGGGGGCCGAGAAAUGAAACAUUGCUGGCUGUAUCAGAAAACUCACAGUCAUCAGCGAUUGCAGCACAGGUGAGCUGGUGAACCCUGAUGGAGCUCAGGAAGGAAACAAAGAGUACCUGCUGUCUAGAAGCCAUGAGACUGCAGCCACUCCCUAUGGUGAGCCCUGAAGGAACUCAGGAUGAGAAAACACAGGAUACUAGCUCCAGAGAGCUGAGAUGCAUAUCAAAG
ensembl:lncRNA